AAACCAACAGGGAUUGCCUCAGUAACGGCGAGUGAAGCGGCAACAGCUCAAAUUUGAAAUCUGGCUCUUUCAGGGUCCGAGUUGUAAUUUGUAGAAGAUGCUUUGGGUGUAGCUCCGGUCUAAGUUCCUUGGAACAGGACGUCAUAGAGGGUGAGAAUCCCGUACGUGACUGGUUGCUUUCGCUCGUGUAAAGCUCUUUCGACGAGUCGAGUUGUUUGGGAAUGCAGCUCAAAAUGGGUGGUAAAUUUCAUCUAAAGCUAAAUAUUGGCCAGAGACCGAUAGCGCACAAGUAGAGUGAUCGAAAGAUGAAAAGCACUUUGGAAAGAGAGUUAAACAGUACGUGAAAUUGUUGAAAGGGAAGCGCUUGCAACCAGACUUGCGCGCUGUUGAUCAUCCGAGAUUUUUCCCGGUGCACUCGGCAGCGCUCAGGCCAGCAUCGGUUUUGGUGGGCGGAUAAAGGCCUUGGGAAUGUAGCUUCUUUCGGGGAGUGUUAUAGCCCUCGGUGCAAUGCGCCCUACCGGGACCGAGGACCGCGCUUCGGCUAGGAUGCUGGCGUAAUGGUUGUAAGCGAC
rnacentral:rRNA from 1 species